UAACGCGAAGAUAACGAUUCUUCACCGCAUUGAUUUCUUCAUGCGUGACAAUAUUGUUAUCCAGCUCCAAUUGCAGAAAGAAGUCUUCUCCCACCUCCGAUCUGAAUUUUAUUUUUUGUCUGAAUCAACUCGAUCAAUCAUGAGUUUCCUUUUCGGGAAGAGAAACAUCCCAGCAGGAAAGCACGGUAAUUACCUUCAUGGCGAAGGCGGAAACAAAGAAACAACCAAAGAAAAAGAUGGGAAUCAAGCUUCGGUCGUCCAAGCCCCGGUCGCCGGUAGUGUUCAAGGACGGCAAGAAACGAUGCAGAAAUUCUAAUCUGGUCCCAUAAAUACCUAUCCUUCGGGGGCGGCUCACACUCAUCAAAAGCACGUUGGGAGCCAUUCCUCUCCACGUUCUUGUUCUUACGUGACAAGAUCUCGAAGAGAAUACCCUCCACGUCUUUCAGGUGAUCGAACCCAUGAAUGAGGCGAUGAAACAGAUGGAGAGUAUAAUUACAAGGUUUUUCUGGGGUUAGAACAAUGACAUCAGAAGAAUGCAUUGGAUUGCAUGGGAGUAGAUUCAGAGACAUGGCGGAGGCGUUUAGCAUGAAAUUGUGGUGGAGAUUCAGAGAAAGACUGUCUCUUUGGGCAGAGUUUAUGUUCAAAAUGUAUUGUCAUACCGCCUCCCCGUCGGAGGUGAAACCCCUGAAAAAAAGCAGCCCCAUUUGGAGAUGAAUGAUCCAGGCCAGAGCAAGGACUCACCUGCACAUGAUAUGUUCUAUCGGAGAUGGGGCCUUAGAACUCUGGGAUGACAUAUGGUUGAAUGAUCAGUCGAUUAGAGGCAUGGGCCACCCAGAGGUGAACCUACCGCGAAAACAUGUCCGCGAUCUGUGGACUGAUAACAAAUGGGAUGAGGCAAAAAUCAGAGCAGCACUAGUGCCUCUCGGAGCGCCGGAUGAUUUGGUGGAGAAAAUUAUAGGAGUACCGAAUAACGGAGAGAGUAAAGACACUGCGAGAUGGAAUUCCACAACACAUGGAGACUUCACUACCUCGUCGGCAUGGGAGAUUAUUAGGCAUCAGCACGAAAAGGUGGAGAUAUUUCGGCUCAUAUGGACUCCAUCCUUAUCUCCUUCUAUGUCGAUUUUCAUUUGGAGACUCUUGGCUAAUAGGGUCCCGGUGGAUGCAAAUUACAGUGGAGAAACAUUCACCUUGCGUCGAAAUGCAGGUGUUGUAAGAACUCAAGUGAAAAGACACGAGAGCAUCUCUUUAUUCAAGGAGCUACAUCGGCAAAAAUAUGGAGGUAUUUUGCUAAUCGUUUUCUAGAUGCUCCAAAAUUUCUAAGGGAUAUGACAGAUAUGGAACUACGAAUCCGGUGGUGGAAAUCAAACGCGAUGCAAACAACAAAAGAUCACGCCAAUAUCCUCAUCCCUUGCUUGAUUCUAUGGUUCAUCUGGACCGAGAGAAACUACGUCAUUCACAAAGGUGCUACCUUUAGCAGCGGCAGUGUAAUUGAACAGGUUCAAAAUCACCUACAAAGGGCUAUCCUUGAAAGGAAGCUACAAGGGGCACAAUGGAAGGGAUUGACCCCUAACGUUACCUUUAACCUCCCGCAGCCAAAGGUGAACAAGGCACCUCGAUCACAAGUGGUUUGGUAGCAACUCCCGCAGCGGGGUUGCGUGAAGAUUAACACCGAUGGGGCCUUCAUAGGAGUGACCUUGAUGGCGGGUGGAGGAGGAGUCAUUCGGAAUGACCAAGGAAGAAUUUUAAGGGGAUUUGCAGAUCAUUUCUUUGCGAGGUCUGGCGUUGAAGCUAAACUAAAGGCGGUACUCAGAGGUCUUGAGUUGGCCAGAGGUCUUGGGGGAAAUAUUUGGAUAGAGGUUGAUUCACAAGAAGUGGUUGGCAUGAUCGAAACAGGGAAACGAGGGGCUGCGAAACAUCGACGUGUUUUAACGGAGAUCAGGAAUAGGCUCAGAGACUUCCAGUUCAAAAUCACGCAUAUUCAUAAGGAGGGAAACAGGAUCGCUGACUAUCUCGCAAAACAAGGGGGAAGGCAAGAACAACGAUUUGAAUUUAAGCAAGAAUCGGCCCCACCUUUUGUGAAUGCCCUAGCCCGUAUGAAUAGACUCCACAUUCCAAGAGUAUGGGGGUGCCGAGAGUUCUUCUUUAGAUCACGCCACCUCCUCACCCUAGCUCUUGAUGUUUUUUUUCUUUUUGUAAUUCAUGAUCUUGUUUUGCAAGCCACUUUUGGGCAGCAUGUAAAAUUACAGUUGAUGAUAUGAAGGGACGAGGGACCCACGAACCCUCCACCACUAAGGUGUUAAAAAUAA